rnacentral:ncRNA from 1 species
GCGAUUGAGGCGCAACAAAAAUCAGUACCGUUUUUGAAACUCCCAAGAGUUCUUGAUAAAACGGAAAAGGGUUUGUUGCCGAAGAAAAACAGGGCUUGGGAAAUGUGUUUUCUGGUUGUAUUAUUAACAGUAAUGCAACUGUCAUCAUUAUUUGAUGGAGUGCUUUCGUA